rnacentral:lncRNA from 1 species
CCCCUCCUCUCUCUCCCUCCUCCGCAGCGUCCUAGCACACAUCGCCGCCACAAACCAGAUCUUCGCCUCACUCUUCCCACAGCUCGCCGCCGGUCCUCCCCUACCCCCUUACCUCGCAGCUCCGGCAAGUACUAGAUCCGCCGCAUCCACCACGCAGCACACUCACAUACUUUCUCCAAUUCCCUCCGUCCUCCAGUCCGGCUAGAUCUGCCCCUCAGGAUCUCCAGCGGCCGCCCGCGUAAAGAUGCCAUGGAUCUCCUCUUCCCGCUCGUCUUCAAGGUACACGCACCCUAGGUAACUACUGCAUCUACCUUCUCUGAUUUGCUGCAGCAAUCAGAUGCAGACUACCCUAAUUUGUUCCGCAUGGUUUUGCUUUACCAACAGUAGUGGCGGCUGUGUGGCGGAGGCAGGGCAUGAGCACGAGGGGGAGGCAGGGCAUGAGCACGAGGGGGAGGCAGGCUGCUGCUGCUAUGACGACUGGCGCCAUGGAACUUCCUUCCUUCCCCUGCUCCCAUGCUAGCUAGGUACAUCUCCUUCCCUAACCUUCCUCCAUGCCAUCUAAUUUUUCUGCUUGGCUGGUUUUCUUCCUCACGCAGCUUCAGCUACAGAUUUGAUGCUAUUCCAUUUUUGAUUUGACCUCUAAAUUUCUAAUUUCACCUAUUACAACAGGGAUCUCAUCCGUGCAGCAGAGGACAACCAUCAUCAACUGUUGCAGUUUCGUUAGAUCAUUAGAUUUUUUAUGCCUAGAACGCCUCUAUUUUUUUGUGCAGUCAUUACAUCGAUCUGGUUGUGGAUGUUGAUACGGGUUCCUUGGUUUAGCAAUUCUAGUCAUUAUAUAUAUGAUCAUUACAGCCGGGACAGUAUUGUUGGAUUGUGGACGACAACACCAUUCUAUCUACAACUGUUGUAGCAAUUACAGUCAUUCUAUCCUUUUAAGCACCAAAACAUGUUAUGACCGAUUUCUGAUUUCUCAUGCAGCGGGUGCCCUCCAUCGACCGGGAUGACCACGACACGGAGAAGUACGAGGACCAGGACGCACAGGACCCCAACCCCUAGCCCGACAAGGAGGACAUCGUCGGGUCUGACCUCGUGCUCGACGCCACGGCUUCAUCCAACUUGACCACGAGGCACCGCACAAGGUACCUGCUCUCUUCUCCUUAUCAUUGGGUUACUGAUAUAGUCCACCUGCAUAGUAGAGCGGCGUGCACUGAUUGGGUAAAUGGUGCACAGCUCCUGGUUGCUAAGGUUGCACUGUUUGCAAGCCAAAUGACCCAAUUUUCCUCUGCCCUCAUUUAGUUUGACUGGAGGGUUCUCGCUGUUAUAGCAUUAUUUAGUCCAGUAAAAUACUCUGCUUGACAUGCUAUUUUCUUUUAGGAGCAAAAAAUAAGCCUACCACUAAGUUUAUCAAGCAAAAAAUAAGCCUACCAGAACUUGUAUGCUUGCUUGGCCACCACUAAGUUUGUGUGUGUGUGUGUGUGUGCGCGUGUGUGUGUGUGGCCACGACUAAGUUUGUCAUUAUCUUCUGGACGAGCUCGGCUGAUGGUUGAUCAUAUCCUGUUGUGUUGUGUCCACUUCUAGUAAAUAUCUCUCAGUUGUGGGCUGAUGGAUGAUGACAAGCGAAUCAGUCCACCUAUUUACUGUAUUGUCAUAGCCCAUCAUAUAAGUUUUCUAGGUAUGAUUGAUUUGCUCUAUCCAAUUCUGAAUAUAAUAAUAAUAAAUGCAGUGUAACUUUGAAAGUGUCUCCACGUUGAACAUUUAAUUUAAUUCUUAUUUUCUCUACCAUUGAAUGAUAUUAUUUAUAAUCUGCUUCCUUAAUUCUAAAUUAAUUGAAUUUGACCAAAUUUAUAUGAAGCUAUAUAAACAUCUGCACCACAGUAUUAGAUUCACUAGAUUCAUUGUAAAAUAUAGUUUCGUAAUAUAGAGUACACUUCGCUGUUCUUGAUAUAGUAUACCUAUUAGGUAGAUUCUCACAUGUAUAGAUAGGUACAUUGGCGGAGCUAAGCUGGGGCAAAAGGAUGCCGUGGCCUGCCCUGCCCAAAACCGGAGAAUGAGUUACAUAGCAGCCUCAUAUGGUGCUCCUCAUGGUGAUUGUUGAGCGGCUAUGCUCAAUGGACAGGCUGCUUCCCGAGCUCCCCAACACCAAGCAGCCGUCCAGCUUGGUGCUUUUCAGAGGUAAACGGCGCACCUACGCCUAUUUACACGCACACAUGUUCAUGUUAGAAUUGAAGUGUCGUGUUUUGGAUGUUUGGAUCAGCAUAGUUACCUAGUGAAAACUCCCUCUUAAAAGUUAGCUAUACACUGAAGAUAGGAAAUGCACAUUUGAGGACAGUAAAAUAAACAGCAAAUUUUCAAUUAGAAAGGUUUUUUUUUGGCAAAAUUAGAAUGUUGUCGGCUACAUAAGAGCACAUAUUUAAAGCACUUCAUUAUAUACUGUUUCAAGUUUAGUUUUUUUCUUUCUUUUUGUGCAAAUGAAAUUAUUAACUUGUGAUCAUGGAGCACACGUUAAAUGUAAUGUUCUUUGUUUAGUGAAGAUAACUGCAUUAAAAUAUAUAGAAAUGGUAUAUAUAGUCUGUUUAUUGACCCAGAUAGAAAAAAUUGUGCUCUUCUUUACCUUGUCCUGCCCAAAAAUUUCCAUGUAGCUCUGCCAUUGGAUAGGUGUAUAUUUAUACAUAAGAAAAAUUACACAUAAUUAGUUCAUAACCAUGGAUUUUUCUUGCAAGUAGUUUUCCAGAAACAAUAACUUAUCUCCUUUCCUUGUCCCUUUAUUGUCAACACCUCAUGAGUGACAUCCAAAUCAUGUAAAAUAAAAAAGAUGGUUCAAAUGAUAAUAACUAGUAUCGCUAUUGUUUUAAUCAACUUGCCAUUUUGUAACAGAAGCAUUUUGUUUUACAGGUUUCCUUAGUGGUGAGAGACGCAAAGGAAGUUUGAGCUGUAGAGGUGACGUUGAUGAUUAAGAGGGUCUGUACAAUGUUGUAUAUUUGUUGAUGUAAUCUGGUUAGUGAGGGCAUGUGAACCGUUUUUGGAUGUGUUCUUGGGCACAUUUUAAAAGGCCGUUACUCAGUGAAAUAACUGAAUAGAAAUUUAUGAAAUGGCCAAAUUAUUGGCAUGUUCAAUGGGAAUUAGUUGUGUUGUGAAUGCUUGAUUGAUUAUGUGUAGUGGUUCGUGUUGUAGCUAGUUGGAUGAAUAUCAUGGGCUUUAUUAAAAAAAUGCACUAAACAG